AUGGUCUAAUUGAAAUAAACGAUUUGACUUGACUUGACAUCAAGCACGCCAGCAAGAUCAGAGUUCUCUUUUAAUGCACAUGGAAUACAGAGUACUUUUACCAUGACUGGGUCGUGGCAGAGCGGCACAAACUUAUUCCGUCUGUAUACGCCGGUGUCAACGUGGAUCCUGACGGUUUCGGUAAGGGAGUCGCUUACCAAGGUCUGGAGUGAAAUGAAAAUUGACAGCUACGAUGUUUCGGCGGAAUUUAGAAAGCCUGAAGAUAGCUUACAGGAUCCAGCAGAACCUAAUGUGACGUGGUAUAGCGCUCAUGUCUGUGAAUCCCAAUACUUAUUGCAAGUGAUAAAAUGCGUGGACGAAUCUUGCUGUUCCCGCUCGAGGAGUGCGUUAAAAUCUGUCUUUCCGGAUACUUUCUUGCCAAUCCUUCAAACCCCAAGCAACUCGUGGUACCUAGUCAGCUAGACAAAGGCAUGGCAAGACUGCCCUGACUGCUUGAUAAUGCUACUACUUGACUGCUGGGGCAAUCAAACUUCUUGACACAACAGGAAUAAGACGCCUAAAGAGUACUAACCUUUUGAAAUAAAAACCUAGUGUUCACUACACUACAUUUUUUAACUAUAAGUACAAAAUAUAAGUGCAAGUGCGGUAAACGAACAUAGUGUCAAAACAUUAUAGAACUCUAAGACUGUUAAUAAACAUUAUCUUAGUUGAAGCUAUUUAUUAGAAUUAUAGAGUCAACGUAAUAUUAUUUAUUAGCCAGAAUUAUUGUAUAGGCUAGAUUGUUAUUCAUGUAAAGUCGCACUUUUUUUUGUGUGUCGCAAAAGUGCAAAAUAACAAAAAUACCUUUUAAUAUAGUCCAGCUUAGCUUUAAUUCCAAGGAUAGCGAAUAUUCAUAUUUUAAGCUACGCGAUUAUACGAUUACACACUCACAAAAUGCAUGCAAUCACGUCGUCGCUGCUACGAAUCUACUGACGCAUCACGCACCAUGACGCAUCGCAUCCCUCGUAAACAGCUACGAAACAUUCAAGGUCUUUGAUUUAUACGAUUUUCAGGUUAAGGGCUUUUCUUGGCAGUAUUACUUGAACAAUGAUAACCUCACGUUAUAGCUCGAAGAUGGUCCUUGUUAACGAUUGUGAACUUGAUUCUGUAAAGAUACAGUUUAGUUUUCACAUUAUACAAAAGUUUUGUUAUCAAAACUAAAUUUGGUAUCGAGACUUAUAACACUAUUCUAUAAUUUUAAUUUGUAAAGCCAGAAAAGGGAGACGUUUAUAAAAUAUUAGCAUUGCCUAUCGUGAUCAUAUUCCUCAAAUUUUGCGUAAUUGAUACAAUUAUUAGUUAUUUUUCAUAAUUGUAGUUAGUUGUUUUAUUUCCUUUAAUAUAAAUAAUUAUGAGUUUCGCACUUCUUGCACUUCCUCACAAUUUCUUUUUCAUGCAGGUUUCAUAGAAGGCAACAACGAUAUAAUUAUUUCUUUAAAGUGCAGUGAGUUAAUCUUGUUAUUUUACAAAUGCAAUGCAAUGUUAUUAUAAUACUCUUUUUUGUGCUUUACUGUAAUUCCUUUUUUUUAUGUAAUUACUACUAAUUCUUCUCUAAUUUUAUUUUAAAUUAAAUUCUCUAAUGUUUUAUUCAAAUAAUAUGGAAUAUUUCUGUCAGUCAGAGGGUCCUUGACAAAUACUUCUUUUUAAUAGAAUAUACGUAUAAUACUAUCUACGGUAUAAUAUAAUAUAAUUUUAAAAAAGUGACGGAAUAAGGAUGGCUACAUUCCUGUGGAAAAAAGAACAAAUAUAUUUCUUAUCUAAUUUUGCUGCUUUCAAUGAAAUUGUAAGCAAGAUAAAGACUAAUUUAAUUAUUA